AGCUAAGUCUCUGCUGAUAGAGUCUCUAAUCUUUGCUGCCCAAACCACCAGUCCCACUUCUAGAUCAGCUCUUCAGCCAUCAAGGGGAACAACACUUGUGGAGAAGGAGCCUGCCAUUCGCAUCACCACCAACACCAGCACCAACUGCUUCUGAUAAGCAGAGUCAUCGAAGUCCAGUGACAAGACAAAAGUCAGGAUGAUUGGUCAUUGCCAGGGAUACAGAGGAUGACCCUGGUGUCUUUGAUGUCUGACCAAGCUCUAAGUGCUCCACAGUGACUGCUUCGGCUGCCUUCAUGACUGUUUAGAAUAAAUUGUUCUCAUCUGCCCAUUCUGCCAGGGAAAAUCUUCAUAUGCUUGGGGUAGACACCCAUCUCACUCACCGACAAGUAUGAGACUCCUUAGUUGGCUUCAACCUGGUUUAGCCCAUCUGCUGAAACAGGAGGAAGAUUGAAGUUUCAGAGUUUGAUUUCAGUUUGGUGCAAGCAGAGUCUUCCUGACGGUUAGACAUUGAAGAAGCCACCCACCAUAGGAGGUAACAGUAAUCUCCUCCAUCUCCAUUUCUCCUGAAGAUAACUGUUGAGUGGAGGGCAGGAAAUGAGCAUCUCAUGUACCCAUCAAACACUUUGCUGGUGUUCCUGAAGUCACUGGGAGGUUUGACAAUUCAAAUCAACAGUGAUUUCAGCAGUCAUUUAUCUCUCUUGGAGAAGAGCAGCUCAGCGAAACUCCAGUUCCCAAUAGUCCUGGAACCAGAAAAAGAUGAUGUUGAUAUUUAACUUGGAAUUUCCUAGAAUGUGCUUAUGACUGACGCUUUUUGGGAAGUCCCCUUAUAUGACUUGAAUGCCUCCUGGUUAGAUGGCAGCAGCAUUCUAAUCCCUUCCCAUGCAAGGGAAAUUGGGACAAUUCAUCAGCCCCACCCAUUGGGGAAUAGAAACUUCACUCACUCCCCUUUCCUUACAGUUGGAACCCAACCACUGCUCCAGCAAUCCAAGCACUUACUUCCCAUAUGUGGUAGGCAAGGAAUACCAAAUCUCUCCAUCCUAUUAGCCCCAAAGGUCCUGUCACUUGAUUUUGUUAUAAUGUGUUUUAUAAGAAGGUUUUAUUCUAAAGUCCUGAAAUACUAUAGUCACUGAAUAAUAAAUUCUCCAUAUGGUAUUAAUGGUUUGUUCCUAAAAGAUAAAGGCACCCUUCAAAGUACUAAGCAUUGGAUGGUGAACAUAUGUAGCAAAUGUGGAGUAAUCCACCCACUACCUUGUUGUCUCAUAAUGCUGUUCUUAAUUAACUUCUUUGAAAAUGUAACUUUUUACAGUUGCACAUAGAAUAGAUAUAUUCUAUCUUUGUUGUCUGGA